AGUGAACGCUGGCGGUAGGCCUAACACAUGCAAGUCGAACGGCAGCACAGUAAGAGCUUGCUCUUACGGGUGGCGAGUGGCGGACGGGUGAGGAGUACAUCGGAAUCUACUUUUUCGUGGGGGAUAACGUAGGGAAACUUACGCUAAUACCGCAUACGACCUACGGGUGAAAGCAGGGGAUCUUCGGACCUUGCGCGAUUGAAUGAGCCGAUGUCGGAUUAGCUAGUUGGCGGGGUAAAGGCCCACCAAGGCGACGAUCCGUAGCUGGUCUGAGAGGAUGAUCAGCCACACUGGAACUGAGACACGGUCCAGACUCCUACGGGAGGCAGCAGUGGGGAAUAUUGGACAAUGGGCGCAAGCCUGAUCCAGCCAUACCGCGUGGGUGUAGAAGGCCUUCGGGUUGUAAAGCCCUUUUGUUGGGAAAGAAAAGCAGCAGGUUAAUACCCCGCUGUUCUGACGGUACCCAAAGAAUAAGCACCGGCUAACUUCGUG
rnacentral:rRNA from 1 species